AGAGCGAACGCUGGCGGCAGGCCUAACACAUGCAAGUCGAGCGCCCCGCAAGGGGAGCGGCAGACGGGAGAGUAACACGUGGGAACGUACCCUUCAGUUCGGAACAACCCAGGGAAACUUGGGCUAAUACCGAAUACGUCCGUAAGGAGAAAGAUUUAUCGCUGAAGGAUCGGCCCGCGUCUGAUUAGCUAGUUGGUGAGGUAACGGCUCACCAAGGCUACGAUCAGUAGCUGGUCUGAGAGGAUGAUCAGCCUCACUGGGACUGAGACACGGCCCAGACUCCUACGGGAGGCAGCAGUGGGGAAUAUUGGACAAUGGGCGCAAGCCUGAUCCAGCCAUGCCGCGUGGAUGAUGAAGGCCUUAGGGUUGUAAAGUCCUUUCGACGGGGAAGAUAAUGACGGUACCGUAGAAGAACGCCCCGGCUAACUUCGUGCCAGCAGCCGC
rnacentral:rRNA from 1 species